CUGGCAGACGCGGUGCGACUCUCAACGAUGACGACGACGACGACGACGACGACGACGACGACGACGACGACGACGACGACGACGACGACGACGACGACGACGACGACGACGACGACGACGAAGACGACGCCUGGUUCGUUAGUGUUUGGACGCUCAGCUGAGCAGCAUCGAAUCGUUACGUUAACUAUAACUGUGUGAAAAGGAGGCAAAAAUUGAAUUAUGAGUAGCAAUUGCCUUUACUUGACUGGGGCCUGUUCGAGCCGGUGCGGUGUGGUGUGGAGUUGGCAUCAUAAAGUGAGAGAUAUUCGCUAGGAAAAGUGGGAAUUCUCUGAAUCAGUUUAGUGGAUAAUAGCAGGAAAAAAAAUCGAAAGCGGUGGGGGAAUGUCGAGAACCUUGAAGGAGGGCCACCGCUGAUUGACCAAUGAUGGUUGGUUAAAGUCAUAAUCAACUGAGUUACAUUGAACUUUGCUACUGCGCGGAACUUGCCGUCGUCAUCGUCGUUAUCACCAUCGCAACUGCAGAGAAGGAGAACGAGGAGAGCUAUGACUGAUAAUGCAGCAACAGAAAAUCGCAACUAUAGGCUUGUUCUAGGAAGGACCAUUAUUGCGGAAACGCAGUGAAUGGCGAAGAAACACCCACACUAUCAGAAAAGUAUCACAGCAAAGCACAAAGGAGCAGAUUCAUAGAUUUGCAAAAAUUUAGCAGUAACAAACUACCCGAGCAAAACGCUCAAGUAACUCCCACUCGUGGCUGUGACGCUAUGGAAACGCAGACUAUUUCUACUACACAACAGAAGAUAAUUACCUCUAAUUGCCUUCGCCGUGCGAAAUCCGAAAUGCAAAAUCGGAGAAGAAAUUUGUUGUUAUUCCGCCUGCAGUAGAUGAUUGCAAAAUAAAAAGGCUGAUGACGAACGUAAAAUAUUUCCAGCGAAUCUUUUCUGCCUGAUUGAUUAUCAGUAAAAAAAGAAAAAUGUGUAGGUGCGAGUAUUUCACUGUUCAAAUCAGAGAUUACUGGAUAGGGUGGAACGACAGUAAAACCUCUAGUGAGUGAUCACGUUAUUGAUAAUGUUGGUGGAUAACGAGUACAGAAUUACUCAGUGUAUCGUCAUUGCGCUGAAGUAUUGGGGCUGUAAUUGAGGUGUUAUGGAAUAAUUGCUCGAAAGGUUCAAGUGUUAACCUGGCUUGCUAAUACAGUGAUAUUCAGUCCUCGUAUUGUUUCAUUUUAAUUGAAUUGAAGGCAAAAAUAGUGUUGGAUGAGCAAAUGAGGUACAAACACCUCAAACAGAAAAAUACCCUGAAGACAUAUUUAUCUCAUUUGCUAAAUUUGUGUUGCUGCGAAUUUCGUUUCAAGAAUUCCUGCUUGCAUUCAGGAAAAGUGUUUAAUAUCAAUAAAGGCCUCAAGCAUUGACGACCGACGUGACGAAGCAGGUGUCAAAGCCAUUGCUAAAACAAAUGAACACCAAUCAAACCACCUUUCGUCAGAGAGAUAAUCAUCACCCCAAGCUUUAUCCCCACUCCUCAUCUAGGUACCUACCGGUGUUUGAUGGCACGCUUGUAGCCAAUAUCGUGAAUGAAACUUUCGCUAUGAAGCAAUUUCGGUUCCUCCUGGAAGGUGACGCUGCUCUUGCGGCAACGCCGUACAGCAGCUAUCGCUCCCGUUCCACCCGCUUCCUGGGUCGACGUGAAAGACUUAGAGGCGUCUCCAUUGGAUUGUUUCAAUGCACUCAGUCGCCUGUGGGACGACUCCAGACUGGCUGCCCCACCGGAGUUGGCACGGAUACGCAGCUGUUCGACCGUUGCCGGAGGCUUGUGAGGAAGCUUCGCUUCAAACUGGU